rnacentral:rRNA from 1 species
CCUACGGGUGGCUGCAGUGGGGAAUAUUGGACAAUGGGCGAAAGCCUGAUCCAGCCAUGCCGCGUGCGUGAAGAAGGCCUUCGGGUUGUAAAGCACUUUCAGUGGGGAAGAAAGCCUUGGGGCUAAUACCCUCGAGGAAGGACAUCACCCACAGAAGAAGCACCGGCUAACUCCGUGCCAGCAGCCGCGGUAAUACGGAGGGUGCGAGCGUUAAUCGGAAUUACUGGGCGUAAAGCGCGCGUAGGCGGUCUGAUAAGCCGGUUGUGAAAGCCCCGGGCUCAACCUGGGAACGGCAUCCGGAACUGUCAGGCUAGAGUGCAGGAGAGGAAGGUAGAAUUCCCGGUGUAGCGGUGAAAUGCGUAGAGAUCGGGAGGAAUACCAGUGGCGAAGGCGGCCUUCUGGACUGACACUGACGCUGAGGUGCGAAAGCGUGGGUAGCAAACAGGAUUAGAUACCCCAGUAGUC